AUUGUUAACAAAUUUUAUGAUGGCUGGACUCUAAAUUGCAACUUUAAUUUUCAUAUAUUCGAUCCUGACGUUUCUUUAUUUAGUUCCCAAUGUUAACAGUGAAACAAAAUGUUUAAAUUGCAAAAAUUUGAAAAAAUGCAAAACUCCUGCAAAUUCUUUAAUAAUCGCUGAGACCGAAGACAAGCCACUUGUAGUUGACAAAACAGAAAGUGAUCCAGCUAACGCAGAAUUGAAUGUAUGUCUUGGCCCACACAAAAAAGUAGUCGGUACUUUAAGUGGUGUUGUAUGCAGUGGUGGGGCAGACGGUGUCUAUCACGCAAUUGCAUCGAAAACAGUUU